rnacentral:rRNA from 1 species
GACGUAGGGCGCGAGCGUUGUCCGGAUUUAUUGGGCGUAAAGAGCUCGUAGGCGGCUUGUCGCGUCGAAUGUGAAAUCUCGGGGCUCAACUCCGAGCUUGCAUUCGAUACGGGCAGGCUAGAGUUCGGUAGGGGAGACUGGAAUUCCUGGUGUAGCGGUGAAAUGCGCAGAUAUCAGGAGGAACACCGGUGGCGAAGGCGGGUCUCUGGGCCGAUACUGACGUGAGGAGCGAAAGCGUGGGGAGCGAACAGG